rnacentral:rRNA from 1 species
GGUCAUUUAGAGGAAGUAAAAGUCGUAACAAGGUUUCCGUAGGUGAACCUGCGGAAGGAUCAUUAUCGAAUAAACUAGGUGGGUUGUUGCUGUCCCUCUCGGGGGAAUUGUGCACGCCCUACCUUUUUUGUUUUUCCACCUGUGCACACACUGUAGGUCUGGAGGGGAAGGGAGGCAACUCCCUGACGUUUCAGGUCCUAUGUCUUUACACAUACACUAUUAAAAGUAACAGAACGAUUCAAUGGGCUCUAAGCCUAUAAACUAUAUACAACUUUCAGCAACGGAUCUCUUGGCUCUCACAUCGAUGAAGAACGCAGCGAAAUGCGAUAAGUAAUGUGAAUUGCAGAAUUCAGUGAAUCAUCGAAUCUUUGAACGCACCUUGCGCUCGUUGGUAUUCCGACGAGCAUGCCUGUUUGAGUGUCAUUAAAUUCUCAACCUCAUCGCUUUUGUGAUGAUGGCUUGGAAGUGGAGGUUUUUUGCAGGCUGAAAAGUCUGCUCCUCUCAAAUGAAUUAGUGGGUGCCCCGCGCAAACCUAUCUAUUGGUGUGAUAAUUAUCUACGCCGUGGAUCCUUAGGAUUGCUGUAAAAAGGUGUUUGCCCUGCUUCUAACCGUCUUCGGACAACUUGAACCAUUUGACCUCAAAUCAGGUAGGACUACCCGCUGAACUUAAGCAUAUCAAUAAGCGGAGGA